rnacentral:tRNA from 1 species
GGCCACGUACCCCAAUCGGCAGAGGGGACACGCUCAGAACGUGUACAGUAUAGGUUCGAGUCCUAUCGUGGCCA